AAAACCUGCUGCACAUAUAUUAACUCUGGACAGGUUGAGGUUAACAUUCAAAAGAUCUAUGAGCAAGCUACCUAGUUACAUAGAUAUAACCAGGGCACUGCCCCCAACUAUAUCUGGUCAACCAUCAAAAGUGCCUUCCCAAGUCUCACCUGUUUUUCACCUCUUCUAGGACCUUUGACAACUGUCUUGUUACAAAUGUUUGGUCCUUGCUUCUUUAACCUCUUAGUAAAGUUUGUGUAUUCUAGAUUACCACAGUUCCAGAGACAAUGCUGGCACAAGGCUUCCAGCCCAUCCUGUCCACUGACACGGAGAAUGAAAUCGUCCUGCCUCUGGGCUCCUUAGAUCAGGUAUCCAGAGAUUUUUACUCCUCCAGUGCCAGGCAGGGCCUACGUCCAUAAACUCAGCAGGAAGUAGUUACGGAAAACAGAUCUCCGCCCUUCUGCAGCCCCCUUAAGAUUAAGGAGGAGUAUCUAAUCUCUGAAGGGGGAAUGAGGUAGGAGGUGGGACUCAACUCUGGAAGUGGGGCUCAGGCACUCAGACCAAACUGAGCACUAGCUAAAAUAGGUCCAGGGCAGAUGCUAGUUUCCAUAGGACACACCGACCUGUGUCAAGUCAGUUCACCAUGGCUCUGGCAGCACCCAGAAGUUACCACCCUCACCCUGGAAAUGUCUGCAUAAACUGCCCCUUCAUUUGCAUAUAAUUAAAAGUGGAUACAAAUACCACUGCAGAACUGCCUCUGAGCUGCUACUGUGGGCGCACAGCCUGUAGGGCAGCCCUGCUUUGCAAGGAGCAGCGCCUCUGCUGCUGCUGUGCACAGCCGGCCGCUUCAAUAAAAGUUGCUAACACCACUGGCUUGCCCUUGAGUUCCUUCCUGGGCAAAGCUAAGAACCCUCCCGGGCUAUGCUUCAAUCUUAGGGCUCGCCUGUCCUGCAUCACUGGGAUCAUCUCCCAGUAAACUAGCCACACUUACAUCCAUGUGUCAGGGACAUUUCUGGAGAAAGCAGCCCAGGACACUGUUGAAUAAAACACACAAUAGUCUCUGUGGUCUUCUCCACCCCACCCCACACCAGGCACCCUCAGCUUGAUUCUCCUUUUUAAUUGCCUGUAAGCAGGGAAGCACAAUGUUUUCACAUUCUUUGUAAGGCCUUUGUUCUACUAAAAUCUAACCUCAGAGCACAAUUUUAAACUAGAUGAAAGAGUUGCUGCGCCUGAAGCACUGCAAACACCUCCUCACCACACAUGUGCACUCACCCUGGACACCCUCACUCACCCUGACACCCUCACUCCUCACCCUGGACACCCUCACUCACCCCAGACACCGUCACUCCUCACCCUGGACACCUCACUCUGCACCCUGGACACCCUCACUCACCCUGGACACGUUCACUCACCCUGACACCCUCACUCACCCUGGACACCCUCACUCACCCUGGAUACCCUCACUCCUCACCCUGGACACCCUCACUCACCCUGGAUACCCUCACUCCUCACCCUGGACACUCUCACUCACCCUGACACCCUCAAUCCUCACCCUGGACUCCCUCACUCCUCACCCUGGACUCCCUCACUCCUCACCCUGGACACCCUCACUCCUCAUCCUGGACACCCUCACUCAACCUGGACACCCUCACUCCUCACCCUGACACCCUCACUCCUCACCCUGGACACCCUCACUCCUCACCCUGACACCCUCACUCCUCACCCUGGCACCCUCAGUCACCCUGACACCCUCACUCCUCACCCUGACACCCUCAAGUCUUCACCUCCCUGGCUGCAGCCUGGGACACGCUUUCCCUAACUUCUGAAGGCUCAGUCCUCCUCAAGCCAAUCUCAUCUCAAAUUGCACCUCCUCAGAGAGGUCUUCCAUAACCGCCCUUAUAAAGCAGGAUUCUUUCACCAAUACCCCUUCCCACAUGGCACUGUCUCACAGCACUCCUCUAAAAGUCUGUUUACUUCCUUGACAAUCUGUCUUCCUUAUAAGGGGAGGUUCUGUAAAAGCCAAGACUCUCUCUGUCUAGUUGACUGUUGCAUACCAGGGCUUAGACCAAGGCCCUGACAUGCAGUAGGUGCUUAAUAUGUUUUGAGGCAAGGUCUUGCUCUGUUGCACAUGCUGGAGUGCAGUGGCACAAUCGUAAUUCAUUGCAGCCUUGAACUCCUGAGCUCAAGUGAUCCUCCUGCCUCAGCCUCCUGAGUAGCUGGGACUACAGGCAUGCACCACCAAGCUUGGCUAAUUUAAAAAAAAAAUUAUAUAGAUAGGGACUUGCUAUGUUGCCUAGGCUGAUCUUGAACUCCUAACCUCAAGCAAUCCUCCCACCUCGGCCUUCCAAAGUGCUGGGAUAAUAGGCAUGGAGCCGCCACACCCAGCCAAUGUGCCGAAGAAAGAAAGAAAAACAUGCUCAUCCUUUGAGUCAGGUUCAAAUUUUUUCUCCUCUUUAACCCCCAGUCACUCCAGUUAUAAGUGAUUUUUAACUCUUCUCACACUUUAAUGCAUCUGGCAAGAAGAUCCACGUGGUGUUAGGAACAAUACAGGACCUUAAGGAUGGGGGAAUCAGCAGGUGUCAGCGUGCCCUGUAUGCUCAGGGCAGCUGUUUCCACUGGACAUUCUCCCUUUGCCUCUCUGGGCAGCAACUCCUAGGCCAGCCGACCUGCUGUGUCGAGUAACCAGGAUUUCUCAAUCUUGGCAUGGUUGCCAUUUUGGACCAGAUCGUUCUUUGUUGUGGGGGCUGCCCUGUACGGCAAAGAAUGCCGAGCAGCACUUCCAGUCUCCACCCACAGGACGCCAGUAGCACCCUCUAAGUUGUGAGAACUCAAAAUGUCCCCAGAGGAUGCCAGAUGUCCCCUGGGGUGGGGACACAAUCACCCCAGGUUGAGAUCCAUGGAGCCAGGUCUGUUUGCCACCAAGGGGUAAAGCUCCAUUCCCACCUUAGGAGGGCUAGGAGGCAGCAUCGUGGGGCCACAGAAGGCCUGGGUUUGCAGUCAGAGGACAGGAUGCACAUUCCUUCAAGAUACAGACCCAGAUUGUUGGGCAUCUAGUUCUUGGGUUUUCUGUUGUUGCUGUUCCGUUUUGUCUGUCUUCCCUCCUUUGUUUACUAGCAGCCUGGAAUUUGCCACUUUUUCUAAACGAAGAUUUAUGGAACACUUACCACACGGCUGACGCUGCGCGAGGCUAAGGUUCUAAUACACCGCAGCUCACUUAACUCUCGCAAUACCAUAAACGCACACUGUUUCAUCUUGACCCUUUCUUGGGAAGGUGACAGAGAGGUAGGAGGGCAAACAUCUUGUGUGCCCCGUCCCAAGGGUAUUACUGGUGGAAUAAUAUCCGCCCCCCACCCCAGUUUCUAAUUUGCUGUAGGCUGUGACGCUGUGGGGCAAGACUAGGAGUCCUGUUGAAAUUAGGAAUAAGUGUGCUGUGAGGGAAGGGCUGCCUUAUUUUAGAGCACAGAUUUUCUGAAUAUCUAUUUUGACAGGUUCGAUCCUCUCCCCUUCCUGCCUUCCUUCUGUCGAUUUUCAAUGUCUUGAUGGUGUCCCACCUGAGUGGCCUUUAGAGAUGUGAGUUGUGAGGCACUGGGGAGGCAGGCACACGUCCUCCAGCCCAAGACUGCCUAAUUUAACAGGGAUUUCUGCAUUCUGGAACAAGCCUCCAUUUUCCCCAAGCAGGAUUACUCCAGAGGGCAAAACACAGCCCAAUAGUAUCACAUUUCCUUUCUGCUUUAGCAAAAAUAACCACUGUCUCAUUCAUGGGAAAAGGCCGCCAAACAAAUUUGUUACUGGAACCAUUUGUAACAACUUCUAGUUUGCACUGCCUUGGAGCAAGCACACUUUGUAGAGGAGGGAUUUGCAGUUACUUGGGCAACAAGGUAACCACUGAUCAUUACAGGAAGCUUCAGAAACCGUGGGACCAGUGUAGAAGAAUGGACUAUCUGUCCAAACUAAGAAUAAAAAGAAUGACACUUGUAUUUUGUAUGUCUUUUUCACUUUGCCUUUCUAGUAAUUCAUUUUUCUUGAUAUUUACACCUUGUGGCCCUGUGAUAGACUGGAAAUCUCAAAAACACACGUUCAGCACCAAGAUUUUCAGCAGCACCGCCUCAGAAUGAGACCCCUAGAAAAAACUGCGUGUUUUCCACUUGCCCAACACGAGGAGUUUUUGGAACACGACCUGCUUGAGGUGGAGAUUUUCUAGAUGGGCAAAGAGAAGGAAACACUUAACCUAGGAAGAGUAUUUAGGAAGAAGAAAGAACACAGCCUUUCUGCACAGGAAACCGCCGAGCAGAGGGGCAUCUGGCCUCUGCAGUGGCCUCCAAAUAGAGUCCAAUGGCUGGGGCCAGCGUGGCUGCUUAAAGGGGACUCAAGGGAUAUAAUAAAAUGCAGAUUCUCAGGUCCUAGUGCAGACAGGCUCACCCAAUAAGUCUGGACUGCAUAUGGGAAUCUCUAUUUCUAGGCCCUUCUGCAAGGUAUUCCUGCUCUUUCCAGGAACCAUCGGCAGCUGGUUUGGGGAAAGAAGCAACGACUCCAAGUGUGACCUGUGAGCUGGCAGCAGCCACCCUCAGCUCUGCUCUCGGUCACUGAAUCCGAUUCUGCAUUUUAACAGGACCCCAGGUGUUGCACCCACACAAAGCUGAAGCAGAUUGGUCUGGGGGCAAAAAAUUAGAGCUAUGGAGAUUCUCUCAAAUGAAAUAGAUGAUAUCAUUGACUGUUAGAGCUUCUAGAAGGAAUCUGAGGUCACUUGUUCAAAUUCCCUGAUUUACAGAUGAGGAAACAGAGGCUCAGACAGCUCAAAUGACUUCUCUCCAAUACCCAACAUUCGACAAGUAGCAGCUCUGGGACUAGUACCCAAAGCACCUAGCUCUCCAAUCACUGCGCAAGCCACACAAUUCUGUCUGCUUGUCAGUGGCUUUUCUGAUUCAAAAAAAGCUUAGGAAUUUCCCCAGGAGGCAGCACGAUGUAGUGGGAAGGGCUCUGGAUGUCUCUCCAAGGCUUCUGGAAUUCAUGCCCACCUCCACCAAGAAGCCACUUUCCUGCCAGCUACAGGUGCUCACCUGAAAAGCAAGCCAGACCAUAUUAACCCUGGCAUUGCUGGUACCUGGAAGACUUUCUGAUUCAAUGCUUUCCACCUCCUCCUACCCCUCACCACCCCCGUGGCAUGAAAUCCUGGGGGCUGCUUUAGAAAUUGUUUUCUUUGGCUGCUGGUGGGGGUGCUGCUGGUGGGGGUUUGCACAGCUGGCACACUGCACCAGUCUGGUGGGGGUUUGCACAGCUGGCACACUGCACCAGUCUCCUGCCUGCUGCCAACAAGGCCAUUUCCCAAGCACUGGCUUUGGAGAAGUUGGGGCUCUGAAGUGGGAACACAAGGCUGCCUUUUGCAGGCCAGGUGUAAAUUCUCCCCCUGCCACUUUCAGCCUAGCGUGAAACAGAUGGAGUGUGCAUUCCCACUUCCCUUUAUGGUACCCUGGAAUGAUGGAGCUGCCCAGGGCAUCGCCACGUUACUCUCUAGACAGUCUCUUUGUCUUCCUGCAAUGGCAGCGCCGAGGUUGUAUAUUUCUAGGUGCAGGUAUAUGAUUGCCAUAUAAUAAAAAUCUGAAAACAUCCCA
ensembl:lncRNA PLAC4 placenta enriched 4